rnacentral:rRNA from 1 species
AUUGAACGCUGGCGGCAGGCCUAACACAUGCAAGUCGAACGAGUGGCGGACGGGUGAGUAAUGUCUGGGAAACUGCCUGAUGGAGGGGGAUAACUACUGGAAACGGUAGCUAAUACCGCAUACCAUCAGAUGUGCCCAGAUGGGAUUAGCUAGUUGGUGGGGUAACGGCUCACCAAGGCGACGAACCCAAGCUGGUCUGAGCGGAGGACCAGCCACACUGGAACUGAGAAACGGUCCAAACGCAGACGGGAGGCAGCAGAGGGGAAUAUUGCACAAUGGGCGCAAUCCGGAUGCAGCGAUGCCGCGUGUAUGAAGGAGGCCUUCGGGUUGUAAAGUACGUUCAGCGGGGAGGCGAUACCCGCAGAAGAAGGACCGGGUAACUCCUUGCCAGAAGCCGCGGUAAUUC